rnacentral:rRNA from 1 species
GAUGAACGCUGGCGGCGUGCCUAAUACAUGCAAGUCGAACGCAGCUGGGACGGGCACGUAACACGUGUAUAACCUCCUAUAAGACUGGGAUAACUUCGGGACACCGGAGCAAACCCGGAUACUUAUAGAUGGUUCCUCGCUGCAUUCGCUAGUUGUUAAGGUAACGGCUUACAAAGGCAACUAUGCAUAGCCGACCUGAGAGGGUGUUCGGAUACAAUGGAACUGAGACACGGUCCAGCCUCCUACGUGAGGUAGCAGUAGGGAAGCUUCCGAAAUGGGCGAAAGCCUGACGGAGCAACUCCGCUUGAGUGAUGAAGGUUUUCGGAUCGUAAAACUCUGUUAUUAGUGAAGCGGUACCUAAUCAGAAAGCCACGGCUAACUACGUGCCAGCAGCCGCGGUAAUUC